rnacentral:rRNA from 13 species
UUCCUUGUCGGGUAAGUUCCGACCCGCACGAAAGGCGUAAUGAUUUGGAUACUGUCUCGGAGAGGGGCUCGGUGAAAUAGACUUGUCUGUGAAGAUGCGGACUACCUGCACCUGGACAGAAAGACCCUAUGAAGCUUUACUGUAACUUGAGAUUGAAAUUGGACUUUAUUUGCGCAGGAUAGGUGGGAAGCGGUGAAAAUAUUCUUGCGGGAAUAUUGGAGCUAUCAGUGAGAUACCACUCUUAUAAUGUUAGAUUUCUAACUUUGAACCAUUAUCUGGUCAGAGAACAGUUUCAGGCGGGCAGUUUGACUGGGGCGGUCGCCUCC